UACGUAGGGUGCGAGCGUUAUCCGGAUUUAUUGGGCGUAAAGGGUGCGUAGGCUGUCGGAUAAGUUAGGUGUGAAAGCCACGGGCUCAACCUGUGGUUGCGCCUAAAACUGUCUGGCUAGAGGAUGUUAGAGGAAAGCGGAACUCGCGGUGUAGCGGUGAAAUGCGUAGAUAUUGCGAGGAACACCAGUGGCGAAGGCGGCUUUCUGGGACAUUUCUGACGCUGAGGCACGAAAGCAUGGGGAGC
rnacentral:rRNA from 1 species